rnacentral:rRNA from 1 species
UACGUAGGGUGCAAGCGUUGUCCGGAAUUAUUGGGCGUAAAGAGCUCGUAGGCGGUUUGUCACGUCGGAUGUGAAAAUCCGGGGCUUAACCCCGGACCUGCAUUCGAUACGGGCUGACUAGAGUUCGGCAGGGGAGACUGGAAUUCCUGGUGUAGCGGUGAAAUGCGCAGAUAUCAGGAGGAACACCGGUGGCGAAGGCGGGUCUCUGGGCCGAUACUGACGCUGAGGAGCGAAAGCAUGGGUAGCGAACAGG